GAGUUUGAUCAUGGCUCAGGAUGAACGCUGGCGGCGUGCCUAACACAUGCAAGUCGAGCGAAGCACAAGAAUACGAUUCUUCGGAUGAAGAUUCCUGUGACUGAGCGGCGGACGGGUGAGUAACGCGUGGGUAACCUGCCUUACACAGGGGGAUAACAGUUAGAAAUGACUGCUAAUACCGCGUAAGACCACAGUACUGCAUGGUACAGUGGUAAAAACUGAGGUGGUGUAAGAUGGACCCGCGUCUGAUUAGGUAGUUGGUGGGGUAACGGCCUACCAAGCCGACGAUCAGUAGCCGGCCUGAGAGGGUGGACGGCCACAUUGGGACUGAGACACGGCCCAGACUCCUACGGGAGGCAGCA
rnacentral:rRNA from 1 species